UAAGUUCUAUGCUCCUUGAUGGCUCAGUGUCAGUUAUCUCCUGGUGCUGAAAACUACUUAUUAUAAGUGCCAGUAUUUGCUGCGUUUGUCAAAUUUAGGAUCUCGUGGUGGAAGUUUAAGCUCUCAUGACUGGGACAAGCGCUGUCCAACAGAAGGGGCUACUGCCUGGAGCACAGUGCAACGGACAGAGGGUAGCACUUACUCCUGUUGUCUCAUCACGGUUGUUUCCAAAGAGAGUCCAAGUCCUCCCGUCCAGCCAGGCCAUACCCAGCAGCACUGCGGACAUCAAGGGACUCAGGAGUAUCACAGCUCAUUGUUUGGUGUUUUUAUGAGUAUAUUUCUGGAACGUAAGGCUCUGAGUCCUUGCAUCUGGCCCGGGGCCCAUGAACAACUGCCAGCUGUCUCCUCCCUGUCGCACGUAUCCCGUCCUUUGAUUGCGAACAGCCAGUGCCUCCGCUGUUUGUUUUCAGCCCACCUGUUUCUUUACCUGCAGGGCAAGAACACCCAUCACAGUAAAGGCACCACCUAACAGGGAAGGAUGGAAACCAUGCCACGAAAACAACUCGAGACAGUUGAACUUUGCUUUCAGCUCUACAGAGCGCACACAUGUUACCGCACUGGUCUGGUUCCCCACUGAAAGCCCAGCCUGAGAAUGGACCCAGCGCUGCCCAUGGCAGAUCAGUGCCAACAAAAAGCCCAGUAGAGCCCAUAGGCUCAUUUGUUUUGCAUUAAGGUUCUCACCCUUGCCCUUGUAUGGGCCACUUCUCAAAACAGAGCUCUAAGCUGACACCCACAGGGUUGUGAUGACCUCUCCACAGCAGUCGACCAAUAGCAUGUGACUGCAUGCAGAGGCAGGAGUGAAAGUUGUCAAGGUAAAGUUUAUAUCUGCAUGGAUUAGCAGCAUUUAGGUGACUCUGGAGCAGGCCUGAGAUUUCAUUAAUUUGGUAGAAUAAUGGUCAGAAUGGUGUAGCCUGUCCACCUGAGCCUCAUCCAGGACAUCCUGACAUUACAGGGGAUGAGAGGAGGACAUGAGUCACCUUUUUUUGACUGGCCGGAGCAGCAAGUCCACUAAUGCCAC
ensembl:lncRNA